AGGGCACCUUUCCACAUCUUUCUGUUUUUCAUCUCUUCUCUUUCUUUUUCCCUCAGCCAUGAAGAUUGGUGGAAUUGCUAAAAUUGAAGUCCAUGCUGUUGGAGCAGGGAAUUAAUUGGAGAACCCUCUUUUCUCUCCCUUUCUUUCAUCUCGUUUCUUCUCCUUCUCUCUCUCUCUAGGCUAACUAAAGCUUAAGGAGUUUGGUUGGUAGCCUUGAGGCUUGCGGGUUUGGUGGAGCUACUGAACCGGAAUUUGGGGCUGGAGGGGUGUACGAGCCAGGGAAACCCAACUGAGGAAACUUGUGACUUGAAGUAAGUAACUAAUUCUCAGCUGGAAUUAUUACAAUAGAUUAAGAGGAGAUUCUAAGUGAUGAAAAGCUUGCGGAAUUAAGCCUUGUGCUGUUGGAGCUGGCAGACUAGACCCUUUGGUCUGUUUGAGUGGCCGAGCAAGCUUUCCAACUGUGGAAGCUUAGAAACAGAUAAAUUAAGAAGGAUUGAGGAAUUGGAGGUUGACAGCUUGGUGUUGCAAGCUGAUUGUUGUUGGGGGUGCUGCCGAAAUGCAAAGGUGGACUAUUUGAAGCUGUGGGCAAGUUAAUUCAGCAGCAAACUGAGAUGUGAAGCUGAAAUUACAGCCUUGGUGGAACUUGGUGAAGUAGUAAAGCAAUGAUUCUUACAGAGGGACCAAGCGGAAGCUUCAGUUGAGAGCAAACUUGUUGAAGGCAUUUGAUUGAGGUUUUGAUGUUGUAAGCUAAAAAGAAGACUUUUCAAAGUAGGAGCAGCUUGAUAGAACCUCAGAAUUAAGGUCGACGACGGGCGAAUUACGGUAGAGACCGUUCUAGUUCUAUUUGCACUGAGUCGCGAGUGAUAGUUGUCGACGCAUUCCGAGACCUUGAUCUUAGUUGAUUGACACCACUACAGGUGGGUGGUGCUAUCCGAAGUCUUUGAAUCACCUUUUAUGUCUAUGAUUAUUCAUUGAGCAUAUUUAUAAUCGUUUAGUCAUGCAUUGUAGGGUAUUUGGCAUUGUGCAAGUGAAAAUGUGAAUUUCUAUCAACAGUGAGAACUUGUGAACUUUAGAAUGUGGAUAUAGAACCCUAUGAAUGUAUGGACUAUAACAAUAGUGAACUUGGUGACAUUCUAACUAGAGGUUUGGUUAGCAUCGAGAAAUGAAUUUGUGAAACUAGCAUAAAGAACUAGUUAGAGUAAAGUGUG